rnacentral:lncRNA from 1 species
AAACACAGACAAGGUCUACCUCUAUGAAACAGAUAUCUUAUCUUCACAAUACUUCUAUUCAGCUGAAUUCAAGUGCUUGGAAGCUGCUUGGCUGACUGCCUCACUGGAAAUUCUUCAGGGAAUGCUCUGGUUGCACACCCAAACAGAAGAUUGAAAUUAGACCUGGAGAGUUUGGAAAUUACUUGAGAGAAUGACAGAACAGAGUCAAUCGAAUCUUUCUGGCAUCCACCAGAGAAACACCUAAGAAGAUGACUAUUCUCCUUUGAGAAUAGAAUAUAUCCUAAUCUAAUCCUGAGGCUGUACCAGCCAUCAGCCACUCUCUCAAGCAUCAUUUCAGAGGAUGAAACUGGGACAGGAGAAGACUUUGGCAUUCAACUGAACCAGAAUCAGAAUGAGCACCUUCACUACCUAUUGACAUUUAUUUUGCUUUGUAUUCAAUGCCU